GCCAGACUCCUACGGGAGGCAGCAGUGGGGAAUAUUGCACAAUGAGGGAAACCCUGAUGCAGCGACGCCGCGUGAGCGAUGAAGUAUUUCGGUAUGUAAAGCUCUAUCAGCAGGGAAGAAAAUGACGGUACCUGAUUAAGAAGCCCCGGCUAACUCCGUGCCAGCAGCCGCGGUAAUACGGAGGGUGCGAGCGUUAAUCGGAAUUACUGGGCGUAAAGCGCUCGUAGGCGGUAUGUCAAGUCAAGGGUGAAAUCCCCGCGCUCAACGUGGGAACUGCCUUUGAAACUGGCAAACUGGAGUGUGUGAGAGGAUAGUGGAAUUCCAGGUGUAGGAGUGAAAUCCGUAGAUAUCUGGAGGAACAUCAGUGGCGAAGGCGACUAUCUGGCACAUAACUGACGCUGAGGGGCGGAAGCGUGGGUAGCAAACAGGAUUAGAUACCCCAGUA
rnacentral:rRNA from 1 species